GGUCUACUGGCGCAAUGGUAGCGUAUCAGCCUUCUAUGCUGAUACCUCGCGUAGAGCGAGCUGAGGGUUGCGGGUUCGAGCCCCGCGUGGACCU
rnacentral:tRNA from 1 species